rnacentral:lncRNA from 10 species
CCGGAAUGAAAACAAACGGCGGCCGCUGCCGCAUCCGGGCACUCUGCUGGUCGCGGCGGGAGUGGCGUGGCGCAGUGCUGGGAUUACAGGUGUGAGCCACCGCACCCAGCCUCCCUUCUGCAUUUAUUGCUGGAAUUCUGAAAAAUUUGUUUUUGCUCAUCAGUUAUUUUAUAUGUGGAGGUACAAUUUGUAUAGGAAAGUUAGAAUAAAAUACUUUGUUUCUUUCUCCUUAUUUUCUUGUUUUCAGAAUAAAUGAGUUGCUUCACU